rnacentral:lncRNA from 1 species
ACAAUACUGAUUAAAAUUAAACGAAAAUCUACUUAUCAUGCAAAUAGAGCUAAUGAAGAAAACACAAUCAAUAAACAAAAUAGGAAUAUCAGUGGUGAAAUCAAAUUGGUACUUAAAGAAAGGGGGAGAUGAGACAGAAAAAGUAAUGAUAAAAAACUUGAAUGGAACUGAUGAAUUCUGGUUGGAAUCCGGCGAACUUGUCCGAAUCUGAUGAUCUCAGAAUGACUCAAAACUAUUGUCAAUCGAUUGCUCUUGUUGAGAGCAAUCUAUUAACACGAGAUUUAGGUCAAAACGAGUCGGAAUUGCACGAAAAUCAGAAAAGGAAAAGGAAAUUAGGGUCUGCCUUUUUUUUUGGGUUUCAGAUCCGAAAUUAAGUGAAUUUGGCUGGGUUUUAGGGAGAACUAGUGAUGGAUUUGGAAAGGACGGGGGAUGAGGAUUGCAUGGUGUAAUUUUGGGGUGGUUUGGAGACUGGCCGUCGCCGUGAAAUGAUUUUCGGCGGGUGGCUGCUAUGGUUUACGCCAUGUGAAAUUGGGAGCAUUUGAGGGCGGCUAGGUUUAAGCUUUAGGUCAGAGACAGGGAAACUGUG